CAGUAGCCGCGGUAAAACGGAGGGUGCAAGCGUUAAUCGGAAUUACUGGGCGUAAAGCGCACGCAGGCGGUCUGACAAGUCAGAUGUGAAAUCCCCGGGCUUAACCUGGGAACUGCAUUUGAAACUGUCAGGCUGGAGUCUUGUAGAGGGGGGUGGAAUUCCAGGUGUAGCGGUGAAAUGCGUAGAGAUCUGGAGGAAUACCGGUGGCGAAGGCGGCCCCCUGGACAAAGACUGACGCUCAGGUGCGAAAGCGUGGGGAGCAAACAGGAUUAGAUACCCCAGUAGUCCCUGUCUCUUAUAA
rnacentral:rRNA from 1 species